AACGAACGCUGGCGGCAGGCCUCAAACAUGCAAGUCUAGGGGGUGUAGCAAUACAUCACCGGCGGACGGGUGCGUAACGCGUGGGAAUAUACCUAUUGGUUCGGAACAACUGAGGGAAACUUCAGCUAAUACCGGAUACGUCCUAACGGAGAAAGAUUUAUCGCCAAUAGAUUAGCCCGCGUUCGAUUAGCUAGUUGGUGGGGUAACGGCCCACCAAGGCGACGAUCGAUAGCUGUUCUGAGAGGAAGAUCAGCCACACUGGGACUGAGACACGGCCCAGACUCCUACGGGAGGCAGCAGUUGGGAAUCUUGGACAAUGGGGGAAACCCUGAUCCAGCCAUGCCGCGUGAGUGAUGAAGGCCUUCGGGUUGUAAAACUCUUUCGCGCACGACGAUAAUGACGGUAGUGCGAGAAGAAGCUCCGGCUAACUUCGUGCCAGCAGCCGCGGUAAU
rnacentral:rRNA from 1 species